CUGCUAUGAUGUCUUCUUUUCAAUUUUUCCAAGUUAGCUUCGUUGUACUGGUCUUAGGAACUUUAGCAUUGCUUGCUAAAAGCCACCUGAACAGCCCUUAUAUAAAAGAAAAGCAAUUACACGCGAAGUGUGAAUUCACCAGCCAAUGUAAAUACCGCCUGUGCUGCGUAAAGAAGGGCAGCAAUGGACCAACAUGCGAACCAGUUGCAAAGUUAGCCCAAAAGUGCACCACCAGAGCUUGGGAGGGAGUCUACAAAAAGCAUUGCCCCUGUGCUGAUUAUGCCCGCUGCCACAUCAAAAGCCACAUUUGUGAAUUACCGAGAAUAGUACUCAACUCGAGUACCAUUGGAAUGUCCAACAG
rnacentral:lncRNA from 1 species